GCCGCCGUAGCUCAGCUGGGAGAGCGCCCGGCUGAAGACCGGGCGGUCCGGGGUUCGAAUCCCCGCGGCGGCA
rnacentral:tRNA from 1 species